rfam:Microgenomates (Daviesbacteria) bacterium GW2011_GWA2_40_9 TT29_C0013, whole genome shotgun sequence.
GCGACUGUCUUGAGGAUAGACCCGGCGAAAUUGCAGUGGCUGUGAAGAUGCGGCCUUCCCAUACUUGGACAAAAAGACCCCGUGGAGCUUUACUGUAGCCUGAUUCUGAUUUGAAAGAUUAAUUGUGUAGCGUAGGAGGGAGCUUUGGCGACAAUGAAACACCUCUCUUUUAAUUUUUUAAGUCUCUAGCCUCGCCCGUAAUCCGGGCGGGUAACAAGGUCUGGCGGGCAGUUUAACUGGGGCGGUUGCCUCCAAAAGAGUAACGGAGGCGUACAAAGGUACACUUAAGGCCAAUGGUAACGGCCUUUAAAGCGCAAAAGUAUAGAGUGUGCUUGACUGCGAGACCCACAAGUCGAGCAGGUGCGAAAGCAGGUUUUAGUGAUCCUUAGGUGGUUCGUGGGAGCGCCUAGGCUUAACGGAUAAAAGUUACCCCGGGGAUACAAAUGUGUCCUGAUCCUGUGGUAACAUAGGAUCGUAAAUACGGCUAAUAACGGUGGAACCCUAAUGAUUUAAGGUUAGAAGUCUUUCCUUACAUCGAGAAAUUGUUAGGGCAAUACCGUGGGAAGUCGAAGGUAUGACGAAAAAGCAGAAAGCGAUAAUUAUUGGAUCAAUUUUAGGAGAUGGUUUUUUGCAAAAAACCGGUGCUAAAAAUGCUCGGUUAAGGCUGGAACACAGCCUUUUGCAGAAAGAAUAUUUACUUUGGAAAUGUCAAAUAUUAGGUAAUUAUUUUCAAUCCAAACCACAAAUCUUGGAAAGGAAAAAUCCUGUUUUUGACAAAACCUAUCAAUAUAUUCGAGCCCAAUCUUAUUCAGGAUCUGAACUAGGAAUUUUUUUUCACCUUUUUUAUAAAAAUGGGAAAAAGAUUAUUCCUGAGAAGAUUUCUGAUCUAUUAAAAGAUCCGCUGAUGUUGGCAGUUUGGUUUAUGGAUGACGGUUAUUACUAUCCUAGGGAUAGAAUAGCCUAUCUAUAUUUACCCAAAUUAGACCAAGCAUCAAUUGAUAAUUUACUGAAUGCUUUAAAAGUCAAUUUUAAUCUUUCUCCCAUUCUAAAAAUUAAGAAAAGGGGAGAGUAUGUACUUAACUUUUCUGUUGUAGAAACAAAAAAGUUGGUUCAAUUAAUAAAAUUAUUUGUGAUUUCUUCUAUGAGUUAUAAGAUUCCUUCGGAAUCUUGCGACAACAGUCUAAAGAUUCCUUCGGAAUCUUGUAACCUUGAAGUAUCCUAAACUACCUUUUGACCCCGUAUCGACUGAGCCCUUAAGAGAGUUUCCGUUUAAACUCCUGGGCGAGAUGCAAUGUUUUCUAACUUGCAUAAUAUGCCGUACUCCCGAUUUAAUCGGGAUGAAGAUAUAGUCAGCGCUCACAGUAAUGUGAGAAUAUCGUGAACAGGCUAGUCUUACCCAACAGUCCACAAGGACGGUAAGGUUCGGCACCUCGAUGUCGGCUCAUCACAUCCUGCGGCUGAAGAAGGUCGCAAGGGUCGGGCUGUUCGCCCGUUAAAGUGGUACGCGAGCUGGGUUCAGAGCGUCGUGAGACAGCUCGGACUCUAUCCAGUAUGGGCGUUUGGAUACUUGAAGGGAGUUAUUUCUAGUACGAGAGGACCGAAAUGAGGAAACCUCUAGUGUGCCGGUUGUCACAAAAUGGCAGCGCCGGGUAGCUACGUUUCUAACUGAUAAGCGCUGAAAGCAUCUAAGCACGAAGCAGGCCCUAAGAUUAGGUAUCUUUUAAGACCCCUGGGAGACUACCAGGUCCCGUAAGGGAAUCCUGAAAGCAAUUGAAGGAUUGAUAGGAGUGCGGUGGAAGUGCAGCAAUGUAUUAAGCUUACACUUACUAAUGGUCAUAGUUGAGAUUUU